rnacentral:ncRNA from 2 species
AAUUUUACUUAGUGCUGGGGAAGCAGGUGUGAUUCCUGCAGUGUGCCGCAACGGUGAAACUCCGAAUACCGACUAAGUG